rnacentral:misc_RNA from 1 species
GUAGGUGAACCUGCGGAAGGAUCAUUAAAAACGAUCACCGGUGUACCCAAGCGACGUCGAUUACUCGACCUUGUGGGGCUGUCUUAAACUCACAGCAUUACCAGUCGCGCGGGAUACUGAUGCCCUAGCCCUUGAGCUAGGGGCCGAGUGAAUCCCACCCGUGUCUACAUACUCUUGUUGCUUUGGCGGGCCGUGGCCUCCACUG